AAUUAAUAUAAUUUAAUUUAAUUAGUAUUAAUUAAUUUAUAAUAAAUAAUUUUAAAUUAAAAUUUAUUAGGUGGAAUUUUUAAAUUUUAAAAAAAUUUGUUAUUUUUAAUGAAGUUAGGAAAUUUUAGUAAUAAACUAGGUUAGAUACCCUAUUAUUUAAAAUGUAUUUUUUAUACUAAAUUAGUAUUAGCUAUGUUCUUGAAAAUUAAAAAUUUUGGCGGUAUUUUAGUCUAUUCAGAGGAACCUGUCCUAUAAUUGAUAAUCCACGAUUUAAUUUACUUUUUUUAUUAGUUUGUAUAUCGUCGUAAUUUGAAUAUUUUAUAAGAAUAAUAAUAUUCAAAAUUUUUUAUAUAAAAGUAAAUCAGAUCAAGGUGCAGCUUAUAAGAAAGAAGAGAUGGGUUACAAUAAAUUUAUUUUAGAAUUAUUAUUUAUAAAAUAAUAUGAAUUUGGAUUUGAAAGUAAAUUUAAUUAAUUAAUUAGAUUGAUUUUAACUCUAAAAU
rnacentral:rRNA from 1 species